rnacentral:rRNA from 1 species
AUUGAACGCUGGCGGCAGGCCUAACACAUGCAAGUCGAACGGUAGCACAGAGAGCUUGCUCUCGGGUGACGAGUGGCGGACGGGUGAGUAACGUCUGGGAAACUGCCCGAUGGAGGGGGAUAACUACUGGAAACGGUAGCUAAUACCGCAUAACGUCGCAAGACCAAAGUGGGGGACCUUCGGGCCUCACACCAUCGGAUGUGCCCAGAUGGGAUUAGCUAGUAGGUGGGGUAAUAGCUCACCUAGGAGACGAUCCCUAGCUGGUCUGAGAGGAUGACCAGCCACACUGGAACUGAGACACGGUCCAGACUCCUACGGGAGGCAGCAGUGGGGAAUAUUGCACAAUGGGCGCAAGCCUGAUGCAGCCAUGCCGCGUGUAUGAAGAAGGCCUUCGGGUUGUAAAGUACUUUCAGCGGGGAGGAAGGCGGUGAAGUUAAUAACUUCACCGAUUGACGUUACCCGCAGAAGAAGCACCGGCUAACUCCGUGCCAGCAGCCGCGGUAA